AGCGAACGCUGGCGGCAGGCCUAACACAUGCAAGUCGAACGAACCUUUCGGGGUUGGUGGCGGACGGGGGGGUAAAAGGUGGAAACGUGCCUUUAGGCUUGGCAUAACGCAGGGGAAAUUGUGCUAAUACCGGGAGUGCUAUCGCGGGCGAAGUUUAAUCGCCUUUAGAGGGGCCCGCGUCUGAUUAGCUAGUUGGUGGUGGUAAUGGCUCACCAAGGCGACGAUCAGUAGAUGGUCUGAGAGGAUGAUCAGCCACAUUGGGACUGAGACACGGCCCAAACUCCUGCGGGAGGCAGCAGUGGGGAAUCCUGCGCAAUGGGCUAAAGCAUGACGCAGCCAUGCCGCGUGAAUGAUGAAGGUCUUAGGAAUGUAAAAUUCUUUCACCGGGGACGAUAAUGACGGUACCCGAAGAAGAAGCCCCGGCUAACUUCGUG
rnacentral:rRNA from 1 species